rnacentral:rRNA from 1 species
GAUGAACGCUGGCGGCGUGCUUAACACAUGCAAGUCGAACGGAAAGGCCCUGCUUUUGUGGGGUGCUCGAGUGGCGAACGGGUGAGUAACACGCGAGUAACCUGCCCCUGACUUUGGGAUAACUUCACGAAACUGGGGCUCAUACCGGAUAGGAGCUCCUGCUCCAUGGGGGGCGAUGGUAAGUUUCGGCUGUUGGGGCUGGUCUCGCGGCUUACCAGCUUGUUGGUGGAGUAGUGGCUUACCAAGGCUUUGACGGGUAGCCGGCCUGAGAGGGUGAACGGGCACAUUAGGACUGCGGGACGGCCCAGAGUCCAACGUGAGGCAGCAGUGGAAAAUAUUGCACAACAGGCGCAAGCCUGAGGCGGCAACGCCGCGUGCGGGAUGACGGCUUUCGGGUUGUAAACAGAUGUCGCAGGAGACAAAGAGUUAGUGACGGUAAUGGGUAAGGAAGCACCGGCUAACUACGUG